rnacentral:lncRNA from 1 species
UGUGGAGUGCAAUUAGAGAUGGAGUUAGCUUUAUUUGAUUUAGAAUUUUAUCAGAGAUGAUGCAAGACUUUAUUUAAUAUUGACUUUGUCAAAUAUUAAUUUUCUUUUUGAUACUGAGUUUUGAUUUUAUUAUUUGAAUUAAGAUUUAAACAUUAAUUACUAAAUUUUAUUUUGCUGUCUGUUUGUGAUAUCAUGAUGAGAUGCCUUACAUGUUUAUGAAAAAAAUUUUCUAUGAGUAUGUGGCGGUUGCUAUGACCCCUAGAUCGUGAUCUCAGAAUGGAGGUAUAACAAUUAAUAUGGUAUUAGAGUAUAAGUGGAUA